GAUGAACGCUGGCGGCGUGCCUAAUACAUGCAAGUCGAGCGAAUGGAUUAAGAGCUUGCUCUUAUGAAGUUAGCGGUGGACGGGUGAGUAACACGUGGGUAACCUGCCCAUAAGACUGGGAUAACUCCGGGAAACCGGGGCUAAUACCGGAUAAUAUUUUGAACUGCAUGGUUCAAAAUUGAAAGGCGGCUUCGGCUGUCACUUAUGGAUGGACCCGCGUCGCAUUAGCUAGUUGGUGAGGUAACGGCUCACCAAGGCAACGAUGCGUAGCCGACCUGGGAGGGGGAUCGGCCACACUGGGACUGAGACACGGCCCAGACUCCUACGGGAGGCAGCAGUAGGGAAUCUGCCGCAAUGGACGAAAGUCGGACGGAGCAACGCCGCGUGAGUGAUGAAGGCUUUCGGGUCGUAAAACUCUGUUGUUAGGGAAGAACAAGUGCUAGUUGAAUAAGCUGGCACCUUGACGGUACCUAACCAGAAAGCCACGGCUAACUACGUGCCAGCCGCCGCCGUAA
rnacentral:rRNA from 1 species